rnacentral:tRNA from 1 species
UAGUUCAGUGGUAGAACAUCACCUUGCCAUGGUGGGGGUCGCGGGUUCGAAUCCC